rnacentral:rRNA from 1 species
AUGGGACGUCGCACUCACGUCGUCCUCGCCGCCGCGGCGCCAGCGCUGCUGCUCCUCCUCCUCCGGCUGCACGUGGCCGCGGCCGCCGACCCGCCCUUCUCCUGCGGCGCGCCGUCGAGCGCCGCGUUCUGCGACCGGAGGCUGCCGAUCUCGCAGCGGGCGGGGGACCUGGUGUCGAGGCUCACGCUUGAGGAGAAGAUCUCGCAGCUCGGCGACGAGUCCCCGGCCGUGGACCGGCUGGGCGUGCCGGCGUACAAGUGGUGGUCGGAGGCGCUGCACGGCGUCGCCAAUGCCGGCCGCGGCGUCCACCUCGACGGCCCGCUCCGCGCCGCCACCAGCUUCCCGCAGGUCAUCCUCACCGCCGCGUCCUUCAACCCGCAUCUCUGGUACCGCAUCGGCCAGGUACGUACCCAACACACACGUGCUCGUGCAGUUCUCGCUGCUUCAUUUUUUACCUCGUCACUCUGCCUUUGA